CUCAGUUCAUUGUUCCUGUUCAACCAAGGAGUGUCAGUAAGGCCCUGAGGAAUCGACUCCGCUUAUCCACACGAGGGUCGCGGGAAAGCCGGAGUCUAUUCCAGCUGGCUUCGGGCGAAAAGGCGGACUACGCCCUGAACCGGUCGCCAGUCAGUCGCAGGGCGGAUUUCGACAGCAUCGCUGAGCGGGAAUCGAUCCCACGCUGCCCGCGCCGAAGGGUGUCCGGACUUUCCCUUAGAGAUAGGAUGAGAAGCCCGGUCAUCAGGGAGGGGCUCGGUGUCGGAGCCGCUACUCCUCCUCGCAUUGAGAGGAGCCAGAUGAGGUGGCUCGGGCGUCCGAUUCGGAUUCCUCCCGGACGCCUCCCUGGUGAGGUGUUCCGGGCACGUCCCACCGGAAAGAGACCCCGAGGACCACCCAGGACUCGCUGGAGAGACUGUGUCUCUCGGCCGGCUUGAGAACGCGAAGAUGCA